UUCUCAAAGCUUUUCCUGACAAAGGAAAGAGGGCAGAAGAGGAAAUAAAAGAGCAAAACUACAUUUGUAGUUACUAUCUGGAUGUUCACUUAGGCUGUAGGGAACCUGCAUUGUGGUUUUCAAUCUUCUGUAUUGAAAGCAGGAACUUUGAAGAUAUUUUUCCUUUCACAGGCACUACAAAGACUGCAGGAAUGCAGAAUUCUCACUUCUCAGGAUCAAGCAUGGGCAGUCCAGCUGACAAGGUGUGAUAUGACAACUGACUUAAACUCACCAGCCACCUCAGGCUGAGAUCCUGUGGAAGGGUCUGGUCCUCCUCUGGAGAUCCUGGAAAUCCUCUGGUCAUCAAGCUCUUGUCCCCUGGGAAUCUGGCAGGUAAAGGCUGCCCUGGUGUUCAGAUCAUAUCCAGCAAUUUUGGCACAUAUUUCCAAUUCAGACAUCUUUUGAAUGAUGACUAACAACAGCAGCAAUAAAAAGCCUCAAUUUUUCAUAACCUAAAACCAGGAGCACAUCAAAACCAAUCCAAUUUGUCUGCAAAUCUUGCAGAUAAAUCUUGCUGUCCUGACAUGUAGGUUUUGAUUUGUUUAUUAUCCACAUUCAUCCUCCUGUCAAUGUCUUCUCACCUGACGAAACAAUUCCAUGGCAUGACACGGAAGUGGAAAUAUCACCCUGAGUACUGGAACUGCACUGACCCUGCCGUGGCCACAUCAGCUUUGGUGCUGUGGGUUUAUCACUGCACAUCUUGCCCUUUUUGCUGCUGUCAAAGAGCAUUUGACAGGAUUGCAUCCCUGUCUCCUGCAUGACACUGCACUCCUAUGCUUGCCUGGGAUGUCUCUUCACAGCACCUUCAUAAGCAUCAAUGCCAUGAAAUCUCAACAAAGGGCUGAAGAUUAAAGGCUGACAUGAUCAGUCAGACUGUUCAGAAGAGAUCUUUGGGAUGUUUAACAAGGAGAUCUCAGAGGUCACAGUCCAGUUUCAUGUGGGCUUAGAAAGCAGCAGAUCUCAGAUGAAUCAACCAAGCUGAGAAAUGUGAGUACAUGAGACCAUAAACACCAACAGUUAUACACAGACUCAAUUCCCAUCUGAAAACAAAACAGCACCAAAACAAAAAAUGUGCAGUUUACACGAUUUUAAGGGAACAUAAGCACGCUUUGUUUCCUUGGAUAUAUUUUUUCCAAAAAAGAGAACUUUUUUAAAAAGUGGUCUCAGCUGGGAGCCUGCCCUUAGCCAAAAUGAACGUGGUAUGUCAGCUCUGACAAUCUGUCAGAAAGAGAGAAGAUAAUACUUUCACUCCAAGAAUAAGAUGUAUUCAAAAGUUUUGCCCUAACAUUGAAACAAGCACUCCCCCUUUCCCCAGAAACCCUGGCCCAGUCUCAGGCAAGGGAAGCAAAUCUGCUUUUAUAUAAGCAAUCCUCACCACCUGAAUAGCCAAUCCACAUUUCUUCACAUAAUUGUCAGGUUGGUUUUUUUAAAUAUAUCCCUUGAUUAGACUCAAUAUGAAAUGAACACCAUCAUAAAUGAGUCAUUCCAGAUACCCCUCAAGAAUAACAAGCAUUGUGGAUUGAUAAUGUCAUGCAGGUCAUUAAUUUUGAUAACCACAGAAUUUAUGUUAGUGAACAUACUGCUAUGUAACUAUAAUGUUGCAUUUAUUUAUAUGCAGCAGAUACAAUGUGUUAGAUGCCAGUUCCCAUUAUUUCACUGUUUCACAGCUGUUCAG